UAUGGAUAUGUACAGGGGAGGGUGGGCACUGACGGACUGUAGAGUGGGGUGAUAUGGAUAUGUACACUCACACUCACACUCACACCUGCCCUUUGUAACUUUACAAACUCUUGAGCGGUCCCCUGGGCCAGCCUGCUCAGACACAAAGGCAACAGCAGAUGCAGACUGCGUGCCAUUUGUCACAGUCUUCCCUCUGUGUGUGACAGUUUUCUGCUGGUCGCCUGCUCCCACCGCUUGGUGUAAGUAUGAACCCUCACUUGGGGAGUAACUCACCUCUGCCUGAGGCAGGAGGAGCUGAAAUUAACUGACGAAUCAGUUUGCACAAGUCUGGGCUGGACACUUAGUGCAGCUUUGGAGAUGCUUACACUGAUAGACGGCUGGACAGAAGAGAGAUCGGGGGCGCUGUCACUGACAGACGGCUGGAGAGAGGAGCGGAGCGAUCGGGAGCUCGGGGGAAGGGUGCCCUCACAUUUCCUACUUGCAUUUGACCAUAAGAUACAGGAGCAGAAUUAGGCCAUCUGGCCCAGUGAGUCCGCUCCUCCAUUUCAUCUCUUACUGGCUAACAGCUUAAUGAUGAUUGUAAAUUGUCCUGUGGGUUGAAUCGGUGGGUUGCGGCGAGGUGUGGUUCAGUGGGCCGGAAGGAUCUGUUCCCGCUGUAUCUCCAAAUAAGUGAUCUGGUGACCUGGGUUAUGUUGAGAAAAUAUUUGCAAAUCGAUUGAAGCUUUUUGGGAUUUGCUGUUGUGAUGGUAGAAACUGGGAAAACACAAGGAUUUCUCAAAAGAAAAAAAAAUCCAUUUGAAAAUAAAUUGUUAGUCAGGCUGCGUCAGUCCAUUGAAAGUUGCUACAUUUCGGGAUGAAAUGUCAACUCUGGGCUGUUUGGACGUAUUUCUGGUGUUUUCUAAUGUCUGCUUGGUUACAGAUUUAUUCCUUGACAGCUUGUCUUUAACCUUAAACACUAUGGCACCACCCCCUGUAUUUUGUGUGUAAAUAAAAGUAUUUAGGCAAACCUGAAAUAAAAAAAUGGUGGUUGACAGAAAAUUAAUGUAAUGUAAAAAGUCUUGUGAAAGACUGAAAAAAAGAAACACGAGAAGAUUUAUAUUUUUAUUUAAGGGAGCAAUUCAGGAAUUUGUGGGAUUAAUUCAUCCAACAACCGAUUACCAAUGUAACAAAUACUGAAUCGCCCAUUAAUUGUGGAAUUGAAUUCAAGAGUUGCAAGGUAAUGUUUCAGCUCUGUAAAACAGAUUGAGAAUAGGUUGAGUGAACUCGGCCUUUUCUCCUUGGAGCGACGGAGGGUGAGAGGUGACCUGAUAGAGGUGUAUAAGAUGAUGAGAGGCAUUAAUCGUGUGGAUAGUCAGAGGCUUUUCCCCAGGGCUGAAAUGGCUAGCACGAGAGGGCAGUUUUAAGGUGCUUGGAAGUAGGUUCUGAGGGGAUGUCGUUUUUUACGCAGAGAGGCCUAGGAAAUUUCUAAAGGGCCUUCAUUGUGCUGUAGGUUUUCUAUAGUUAGACCACAAUCGGAGUAAUGUGUUCAUUUCUGGUUUCCUCCUUAUAGGAAGGGUGUGGGAGCUUUAAAGAGGCUGCAGAGGAGAUUUACCAGGAUGCUGCCUGGAUUAGAGAGCAUGUUUUAUGAAGAUAGGUUAGAGUUUUUUCCUUGAGAGCAAAGGUAAUGGCAGAAGUGUAUUAAAACUGUUAGAAGAGACCCUGCACCUUUUCCCCUGGGUUGCAUUGGACAGUACCAAAUGACAUAUGCUUAAGGUGACUGGAGGAAAGUACUGGAGGGGUGGGAGAGAUAUCAGAGGCGAGUACAGUAUUUUGUUUACACAGAAAAUGGCUGUGACAAUUUCAUUAAAUACCUCAGCCUCAGAGAAAACAAUUGUCCUGCUCUGUAUCCUGAACCUCUUCUGCACCCUUGGAAGCUAUAGUGUGGCAAUCCGAAUCAGACUAACAUGAAAUUUGCAGUGGACUAGUUAAACGAAAGUAAAUACAAAAAAGAGCAAAAUAGUCAGGAAGGGAUUCCGGAAACUUUGUGUAAUGUUCUUAAUGCUCUUGCACAUCGAUAAUAUCCGCUCGAGAGCAACACGCUGUUCAACAGCAGUGAUAAGAUAAACUGUUAUUGAACAGGGGAGAGUCCCCAACUACCACAAAUUUUGCAGUCGAGUAUCCCGCCCGCAGGCGUCAGCACACCCGAAGUGCAAUGGGACUGGGAGAGCCGGUGAAGAUCGUCCACCUUGAAGCCACAGCAAUCCAGUGGCACCUUGCUCCCUACGUUACAUUCGUUCAAACCUCGCACACUGAAGUCGGAUGGUGUUCCUGAUCCCAGCCCCAGGAGUGGAAGCGCUGGUCUCUACAGCCAUCGCCGCUGCACAGGGAGGGGGGGGGGGGGAGUGCACACCAGGCUUCCCCCCGUGUCAGCACUGCGAGGCCCGCUGUGCUCUGGAAUGAACGCCGGGGAUCGCAGCUCUCCGGUAGAGAACGCUUGGUCUCAGCUCUCGAUCACGGCCCAGGUGAGCUCAGAUCCAGCAUCUCCAGGAUGAAGCGGUCAGUGCUGCCGCGCUCAUAGAGAUUCCGGAAUUUGUGCUUCAGCCUACGGAGGCCUGAGUCACCGUUCGUUCCGAAAAUGGUUAUGGAGACAUUGGCAUCGGUUCCGGCACCCUUCACGUCACCGAUGGUGCGGAGGUGCUCGACAAAGCGAUCCCCCCAUUUACGAUGGGUCUCACCAGUACAGAGGAGGCCCCAUCGGCAGCAGUGAUACAAUAGACUACCGCAGCAGACCGAUGCUGCCUGACUUGCUGAGUUCCUGCAGAAUUUUGUGUGCUGCUGGGAAACUAAGCUUUCUUUUGAAGAAGAGAGGACAAGGACUUUUGUUAACCAAUAAUUUCCAAUAAUUGAACAGUGAGCAAAAUAUUUUUCAUCAUUUCAG